AUACGGAGGGGGUUAGCGUUGUUCGGAAUUACUGGGCGUAAAGCGUACGUAGGCGGAUUAGUAAGUUAGGGGUGAAAUCCCGAGGCUCAACCUCGGAACUGCCUCUAAAACUGCUAGUCUUGAGUUCGAGAGAGGUGAGUGGAAUUCCUAGUGUAGAGGUGAAAUUCGUAGAUAUUAGGAGGAACACCAGUGGCGAAGGCGGCUCACUGGCUCGAUACUGACGCUGAGGUGCGAAAGUGUGGGUAGCAAACAGGAUUAGAAACCCUAGUAGUCC
rnacentral:rRNA from 1 species